CCGGCACGGGUGAGUAACACGUAUGCAAUCCACCUCGUAACAGGGGAGAACCGGAGAAUCGACUAAUACCCCAUAAUAUGGGCGCUCCGCAUGGAGAGCCCAUUAAAGAGAGCAAUUUUGGUUACAGACGAGCAUGCGCUCCAUUAGCCAGUUGGCGGGGUAACGGCCCACCAAAGCGACGAUGGAUAGGGGUUCUGAGAGGAAGGUCCCCCACAUUGGAACUGAGACACGGUCCAA
rnacentral:rRNA from 1 species